AUACGGAGGGUGCAAGCGUUAAUCGGAAUUACUGGGCGUAAAGCGCGCGUAGGCGGAUUAGUAAGUCGGAUGUGAAAGCCCUGGGCUCAACCUGGGAAUUGCAUUCGAUACUGCUUGACUAGAGUAUGGUAGAGGGAAGUGGAAUUUCCGGUGUAGCGGUGAAAUGCGUAGAUAUCGGAAGGAACACCAGUGGCGAAGGCGACUUCCUGGGCCAAUACUGACGCUGAGGUGCGAAAGCGUGGGGAGCAAACAGGAUUAGAAACCCCGGUAGUCC
rnacentral:rRNA from 1 species